rnacentral:rRNA from 1 species
UAGGGAAUCUUCCGCAAUGGGCGAAAGCCUGACGGAGCAACGCCGCGUGAGUGAUGAAGGUCUUCGGAUCGUAAAACUCUGUUAUUAGGGAAGAACAAAUGUGUAAGUAACUAUGCACGUCUUGACGGUACCUAAUCAGAAAGCCACGGCUAACUACGUGCCAGCAGCCGCGGUAAUACGUAGGUGGCAAGCGUUAUCCGGAAUUAUUGGGCGUAAAGCGCGCGUAGGCGGUUUUUUAAGUCUGAUGUGAAAGCCCACGGCUCAACCGUGGAGGGUCAUUGGAAACUGGAAAUCUUGAGUGCAGAAGAGGAAAGUGGAAUUCCAUGUGUAGCGGUGAAAUGCGCAGAGAUAUGGAGGAACACCAGUGGCGAGGGCGACUUUCUGGUCUGUAACUGACGCUGAUGUGCGAAAGCGUGGGGAUCAAACAGG